AACAAUUAAAAAAAAACACUGAAAACACCAGUUCUCAUCCGAACACUGCAGUUAAGCAGCAUUGGGCACGGUUAGUACUUGGAUGGAUGACCACUUGGGAACAUCAUGUACUGUUGGAA
rnacentral:rRNA from 1 species